rnacentral:rRNA from 1 species
CCUACGGGCGGCAGCAGUGAGGAAUAUUGGUCAAUGGCCGGAAGGCUGAACCAGCCAAGCCGCGUGAGGGAGGAAGGCGCAGAGCGUCGCAGACCUCUUUUGUCAAGGGACAAAAUCAGGCUCGAGAGCCUGACCGAGGGUACUUGAAGAAAAAGCAUCGGCUAACUCCGUGCCAGCAGCCGCGGUAAUACGGAGGAUGCGAGCGUUAUCCGGAUUUAUUGGGUUUAAAGGGUGCGUAGGCGGACUGUUAAGUCAGCGGUAAAAUCCCGGGGCGCAACCCCGGCGAGCCGUUGAAACUGGCUGUCUUGAGAUGUCGAGAGGUAUGCGGAAUGCGCAGUGUAGCGGUGAAAUGCUUAGAUAUUGCGCAGAAGUCCGAUUGCGAAGGCAGCAUACCGGCGGCGAUCUGACGCUGAGGCACGAAAGCGUGGGUAUCGAACAGGAUUAGAUACCCUGGUAGUC